ACGCUGGCGGCGUGCCUAACACAUGCAAGUCGAACGAGGUCCAUCCUUCGGGAGAAGACCUAGUGGCGAACGGGUGAGUAACACGUGAAGAACCUGCCCCGAAGACCGGGAUAACCCUCCGAAAGGAGAGCUAAUACCGGAUACCCCCACCGAACCGCAUGGUUUGUGAGGAAAUGGAUUCCGCUUCGGGAGGGCUUCGCGGCCUAUCAGCUAGUUGGUGGGGUAACGGCCCACCAAGGCAUCACGGGUAGCUGGUCUGAGAGGACGAUCAGCCACACUGGGACUGAGACACGGCCCAGACUCCUACGGGAGGCAGCAGUGGGGAAUCUUGCGCAAUGGGCGAAAGCCUGACGCAGCAACGCCGCGUGGGGGAUGAAGGCUCUCGGGUUGUAAACCCCUUUCAGCAGGGACGAAUCAAGACGGUACCUGCAGAAGAAGCCCCGGCUAACUACGUG
rnacentral:rRNA from 1 species